rnacentral:lncRNA from 10 species
UUAUAUCGUACUGCAGAAACCAGCUCAACUAUGCAAAACUACCACCAGGACUGGCCGACACCAGGAGGGAUUCCAGAGACCACACUGCAGGGAGCAUACAGAAAGAAAAUUAAGAGAUCAGAUGCAGCAGCAGCCGGAACCCACAGUUCACCUUGGUGCAUUCCUUUAUGAUGAAGACUUAUUGAUUCAUUAUAUGAGAAAGGAAAAAUGAGCAGAAACUACUGUAUGAUGUGCAGCUCACACCAGACAGCAACUUUAGGGUUAUCUUUCCAGUUCAGCAGUGCAACUCUAUGGAGUAGAAUUGAAAGGAGACUUUUCGCCAAUUGCAGGAAAUGGUCAUAAAAAAAUACCUGCUCACUGACAGAAUAAAGUCUCACUCUGUCACCUGGCUGGAGUUUAGUGACACGAUCUUAGCUCCCUGCAACCUCUGCCUCCUGAGUUCAAGUGAUUCUCCUACCUCAGCCUCCUGAGUAGCUGGA